CAGCAGCCGCGGUAAUACGUAGGGUGCGAGCGUUGUCCGGAAUUAUUGGGCGUAAAGAGCUCGUAGGCGGCUUGUCGCGUCGGAUGUGAAAGCCCGGGGCUUAACUCCGGGUCUGCAUUCGAUACGGGCAGGCUGGAGUGUGGUAGGGGAGAUCGGAAUUCCUGGUGUAGCGGUGAAAUGCGCAGAUAUCAGGAGGAACACCGGUGGCGAAGGCGGAUCUCUGGGCCAUUACUGACGCUGAGGAGCGAAAGCGUGGGGAGCGAACAGGAUUAGAUACCCCCGUAGUCCCUGUCUCUUAUAC
rnacentral:rRNA from 1 species